rnacentral:lncRNA from 1 species
UCUGGGGCACAUGUGUGGGGCACAUCUAUGGGGCACAUGUGUGGGGCACAUCAUCUAUGGGGCACAUGUGUGGGGCACACGUGUGGGGCACAUGUGUGGGGCACAUCCAUGGGGCACAUCUUCUAUGGGGCACAUGUGUGGGGCACAUCUCUGGGGCACGUGUGUGGGGCACAUGUGUGGGGCACAUCUAUGGGACACAUCUCUGGGGCACAUCAUCUCUGGGGCACAUCAUCUAUGGGGCACAUCUCUGGGGCACAUUGUGUGUGGGGCACAUCUCUGGGGCACAUCUCUGGGGCACAUGUGUGGGGCACAUGUGUGGGG